UAUUAAAAAUUUUUUGCAAUAUUUUAGUACAAUAUAAUUUUUUCUUUAGAAAAACCGUAAAACCCCGGUUUAACGUACCCGUAUUUUCUCCGCUUUUAUACCGUUUUAGAAACUAGUGCUGAAAAUGUAAGAUAAUCUAUUUUUUUUUUAAUCAUAGUGCCUAUUUCAAACCAAAUCGCAUUGGACACUUUGUGAUUAAAAAAAGCCGUAGUUUAACGUAUUCCUUGCUUUAAUUUGAAAUUUUCCAUUGAGAAACGUUAAAUCGGGUUUUUACUGUAUAUGAUUUUUUGUAAUUUAUUCUUAGUGUUCAAAAGUAUUAGGUUCCUUGUUCAUAUGUAUAAUAUCGUUCCGAGUUAAAACACCUAGAAGGGAAAAUAUCUAUGUUAUAGUGGGGAAACUGAAAAAUUCUAGCCUAACUUUCAUUAAAAAAUCAAUUGUAUGAAUCCUUAACAGUUGAUCAUCUUUCUCUCCCACAACUGCAAAUUCCACAACUUUUGACUUCCCUAUCGGGCUAUGAAUGGUUAGAAGCUUUGCCCAGCUCAAACUUAGGACUCCUCUUAACAAACGAAGAAUUACGCAUAGCAAUAGGUCUCCAAUACUGGCUAACUCCGCAUGUACAUUAUGUUCCCAACCCGUUGAUUGUUUCGGACAUCAUCCUCUUCAUUGUUGAUUCUCUAAAGGUAGACAUUCUCGACACAAUGCAGUUAACGGUACCAUUCUCCGUACUCUACGCUCAGCUCAAAUUCCCGCAACCCUUCCUUAAUACCUUGGAGUAAUGGAACUCCAUUAGCAUGGGAUUAUACUUGCAUCGACCGAUUUGCUCUCUCGUUUAACAACAACUCAUUCGUGCGAGCGGAAAACUCUAAAAUAAAUAAUUACACUUCCCUAACCAAUGGCAAUCUCAUACCAAUCGUAUCCGACACAACCGGUUUUUUUUGGCAAUCAUGCCCUAACCUUCUUCAAAUCCCUUGGUAAAAAAAUUCGCGCCAUCACUGGUGACCCACAGGAAGGCUUCUAUCUCAGACAGCGCAUAUCUAUUGAUAUAUGCAGAUCUAACAUUGCCAUCCACGGCUCCCUUUUUUGACCUCCUCCCACCCAACAUACAAUUUAUUAUACUAAUUUUUUUAUUAUACAGUUUUUAUAUAGAUUUUAUUUUACAAAUAGUUUACAUGAUAUUUUUAAUAUAUUUACAAAUUACGUAUAUUUGUUUUACUUUUAACGUUCAAUUUGACUAAUAAAAAUUUUAAUUUUA